CGGCUGCAUCUCUGANAAUCCUAGAGAUAGGUCNCCCCUUCGNNGGCAGAGUGACAGGUNCNNCAUGGUUGUCGUCAGCUCGUGUCGUGAGAUGUUGGGUUAAGUCCCGCAACGAGCGCNACCCUUGAUCUUAGUUGCCAGCAUUCAGUUGGGCACUCUAAGGUGACUGCCGGUGACAAACCGGAGGAAGGUGGGGAUGACGUCAAAUCAUCAUGCCCCUUAUGACCUGGGCUACACACGUGCUACAAUGGACAGAACAAAGGGCAGCGAAACCGCGAGGUUAAGCCAAUCCCACAAAUCUGUUCUCAGUUCGGAUCGCANUCUGCAACUCGACUGCGUGAAGCUGGAAUCGCUAGUAAUCGCGGAUCAGCAUGCCGCGGUGAAUACGUUCCCGGGNCUUGUACACACCGCCCGUCACACCACGAGAGUUUGUAACACCCNAANUCGNGANGUAACCUUUUA
rnacentral:rRNA from 1 species